UCUGAUUGGACGAAGAUUUUGUUAUCAAAAAAAAAAACUUCUCUUGUUUCUUGUUCUUCCUCUUCUCUCUCUUUUUUUCGCCUCUGCAAUCGGAAGAGAUUUUUCUCUCAAAUCGGAACCAAUCGGUGAAGGAGUGAGAACGAAGGAGUCGAAGGUAACACCUUCGUCGUCACUGGAGGUCUCGGCUUCGUCGGUGCCGCCCUCUGCUUAGAGCUCGUUCGCCAUGGAGCUCGCCAAGUCCGCUCUUUCGACCUCCGCGACUCUUCUCCUUGGUCCGAUGAUCUCAGAAUCAGUGGCGUUCUCUGCAUCCAAGGGGAUUUGACUAAGAAAGUAGAUGUAGAUAAGGCUUUAGAUGGAGCGGACUGUGUUUUGCAUCUUGCUUCCUAUGGUAUGUCUGGUAAAGAGAUGCUUCAGUUUGGUCGUUGUGACGAGGGUGUCAGGUUGUAUCUUUCGUAACCUGACUUGCUUUCUCAGGUUGGUAUAGCUUCUCAGCUUUUGUGGAAGGUUGACAAAACUGCGAUUCUUAAUAGUCCACUGACUGUUUCAUCCCCAGUUCCUGGAUUAUUUAAGCAGCUGAGGAUUCCCCUCUUUGGUGAAUUUACUUGCCAAAAUGCUAUCUUGGCUGAGCGGUUCAUUGAAGGAGGUAGCGCGUAUGUACCAAAAUAACUUAUGCUCGUAAUAAUCUUUAUGUAGGAUUCAUCUUGUUUAUCUUUAGAAUUGAAUUGUGAAACGUAUGGAUGGGAUUGUGUGUGAUAUGAAACAUAUGAUAUAGAGAUGAGAGAUCUUGAUUAUGUGUGAAGAAGACUCUCAACAGGUCGUAGAGGAGAUUCAUGAAAUAAAAGUGGUUGGUGUCAAGGAAUCAAUUUCACCAGAGAGAGAACCAUACUGCGCAAAACAAUUGAUUCCCCAAUCUAAGGUACAAGUCUCUUUUCUGGAACCUAGCCAUAGACUUCACAGUGAUAUAGGUGUUUCACAAUGCUAUGGAGCUGUACACCUUGGGGACGAAUGAGACUAUUUCAUUGCGAAAAUUAAACCAUGGGUCAUACUCUCGGCCUCUUUUCUGGAACCUAGCCAUAGCCUUGGUGAUGCUGUAGUUACAGUUUCUAAAGCUUCUCAAUCUAGUAUUGUUGCUGUUGUGCUUGCUUCAAGUGUUUCUGAUGAGUCUAAGCUUAGUUCUGCAUCAGGUUUAACUUCAGGCAUAGUGCUUGGUUUGUUUGAAGAUAGUAGGUAUAAGUCUGAAUCAAAGAAACCAUCUUUGAAGUCUGUUGAUAUCAUUGGAUUUGGAACUGGUCCUGCGCUAGAGAAGAAGCUGAAGUAUGAUGAUGAUGUUUCUUACGGUGUGAUUUUCGGGAGAGAACUCACUAACUCUCCUGCCAAUGUGCUUACUCUUGGUAUGGAUGGUCUCAAACACUAUCAUGUUUUAUGGUUUGUUGAGUUGUCCUAUUCUGAUUUUGGUUUUGUAUUUUGGCACAUAUCAAGAUUACAACUAAACUUUUUUCCCAUUUGUAAUUUCUAUUUCUAUUUUAAUAUGCUUUUGUGUUUUGUA